rnacentral:rRNA from 1 species
UACGUAGGUGGCGAGCGUUGUCCGGAUUUAUUGGGCGUAAAGAGCUCGUAGGCGGUUUGGUAAGUUGGAUGUGAAAUCUCCAGGCUCAACUUGGAGGGGUCAUUCGAUACUGCCAUGACUAGAGUUCGGUAGGGGAGUGUGGAAUUCCUGGUGGAGCGGUGAAAUGCGCAGAUAUCAGGAGGAACACCCGUAGCGAAGGCGGCACUCUGGGCCGGAACUGACGCUGAGGAGCGAAAGCGUGGGGAGCGAACAGG